AGUGAACGCUGGCGGUAGGCCUAACACAUGCAAGUCGAACGGCCGCACAGUAAGAGCUUGCUCUUACGGGUGGCGAGUGGCGGACGGGUGAGGCAUACAUCGGAAUCUACUUUUUCGUGGGGGAUAACGUAGGGAAACUUACGCUAAUACCGCAUACGACCUACGGGUGAAAGCAGGGGAGCUUCGGACCUUGCGCGAUUGAAUGAGCCGAUGUCGGAUUAGCUAGUUGGCGGGGUAAAGGCCCACCAAGGCGACGAUCCGUAGCUGGUCUGAGAGGAUGAUCAGCCACACUGGAACUGAGACACGGUCCAGACUCCUACGGGAGGCAGCAGUAGGGAAUAUUGGACAAUGGGCGCAAGCCUGAUCCAGCCAUGCCGCGUGGGUGAAGAAGGCCUUCGGGUUGUAAAGCCCUUUUGUUGGGAAAGAAAAGCAGCAGGUUAAUACCCCGCUGUUCUGACGGUACCCAAAGAAUAAGCACCGGCUAACUUCGUG
rnacentral:rRNA from 1 species